CUAGAGUCAGGUAGAAUAUUUCUUUUGCAAGAAAUUAAAGCACUAAAAGAGAACUUGUCCUCUAUAUCUAGCUUUCUUUGAUCCGAAUAGAUCAAGGAAGAAAAAUCAGUAAAAGGUUGCUAGACAAGAUACUUAUAUAAUAAUACCUUAUAAUUUUUCUAUUUGUGAUACUACUAUCUGGAUAUUGGAUAUCGAAAGUUCGAUUCAUAUCUACAAUUAGUUGCAGAGACUUCAGAUUAGUAGAAAAUUUGAGAAGAGCGAACAAUUUCUGAAUAUUGG
rnacentral:lncRNA from 1 species